rnacentral:rRNA from 1 species
GCUUCGGCCUGGUUAUUCAUAACCCUUUGUUGUCCGACUCUGUUGCCUCCGGGGCGACCCUGCCUUCGGGCGGGGGCUCCGGGUGGACACUUCAAACUCUUGCGUAACUUUGCAGUCUGAGUAAACUUAAUUAAUAAAUUAAAACUUUUAACAACGGAUCUCUUGGUUCUGGCAUCGAUGAAGAACGCAGCGAAAUGCGAUAAGUAAUGUGAAUUGCAGAAUUCAGUGAAUCAUCGAAUCUUUGAACGCACAUUGCGCCCCCUGGUAUUCCGGGGGGCAUGCCUGUUCGAGCGUCAUUUCACCACUCAAGCCUCGCUUGGUAUUGGGCAACGCGGUCCGCCGCGUGCCUCAAAUCGUCCGGCUGGGUCUUCUGUCCCCUAAGCGUUGUGGAAACUAUUCGCUAAAGGGUGUUCGGGAGGCUACGCCGUAAAACAACCCCAUUUCUAAGGUUGACCUCGGAUCAGGUAGGGAUACCCGCUGAACUUAAGCAUAUCAAUAAGCAGGGA